UACGAUAAACGGCAAACCUGUCGAAAGGCAGCGACGCAAAGCUAAAGGGCCUUCCCGCAAGGAUGGCAGCCAGCUACCGAA
rnacentral:ncRNA from 1 species